UGGAAGAAACUACUUACUCCCUAA
rnacentral:piRNA from 1 species